rnacentral:lncRNA from 1 species
GGUGCGCCUGCUCCCUACGCUGCGCCGCCGUCGGGUUAUCCGUACAGCGCCGCUCCUGCUCCGGCACCUUAUGGUCAACAACAACCGAAUUACGGUGCUCCUCCUGCGCCGUACUCUCAGGGAGGUAGUUACGGGCAGCCCGGUUACUCGAUGGGAACUUACGGGCAGCAGCAGGGGAAUUACGGGCAGGCAAGCUAUGGGCAGCAAUCAGGGUACAAGUGCGAGGAGGAGAAGAAGAAGGGCAAGUUUGGAGGAAUGGGGUUGGGAGCAGGAUUGGCUAUGGGUGCGGUUGCAGGGGCAUUGGGUGGACUCGCGAUUUCGGAGGGUAUUGAUCACAUAGAGGAUAACAUCGCAGAUAAGGCUGCCGAGAAGGUUGAGGAUGAUCUCGCCGAUGAUGAUUAUGAUGGUGAUGAUUUCUAGGAAAAUUACCUACCAUCUUUGAUCUAGUUAACUUUGAUUUGCAUUUUCUAUGGUAGGAUUAUCCUGCAAGCUAAAAACUGGGUUCUUUAACCUUGAAAACAAAAGCUUGUAGACUUUAUGAUUUUAAUUAUUGUUUGAUGUAAUAUGUUUUGUCGUGACGAACACAUAAACAUGUAAUGUAUGCAAGUUGUUGCUAUCAAUUUGGAUGUUUACGUCCAAACUUCCAUUUGGCAGAUUUGCGAUCCGAUUAUGAUGGUGAUGAUUUCUAGGAAAUUACAUACCAUCUUUGAUCUAGUUAACUUUGAUUUGCAUUUUCUAUGGUAGAAUUAUCCUGAAAGAUAAAAAUUGGGUUCUUUAAAGCUUGUAAACUUUAUGCUUUUAAUUGUUGUUCGAUGUAAUAUGUGAAGUGUCGAACACAUAACAUGUAAUGGACAAAAGUUGUUGCUAUCAAUUUGGAUGUGUAUGUCCAAACUUACAUUA